rnacentral:rRNA from 1 species
AGAGUUUGAUCCUGGCUCAGAAUCAACGCUGGCGGCGUGCCUAACACAUGCAAGUCGAACGAGAAAGGGGAGCAAUCCCUGAGUAAAGUGGCGACCGGGUGAGUAACACGUGACUAACCUACCCUCGAGUGUGGAAUAACAUCGGGAAACCGAUGCUAAUACCGCAUAACAUCGCAAGAUCAAAGGAGUAAUCCGCUUGAGGAGGGGGUCGCGGCUGAUUAGCUAGUUGGCGGGGUAACGGCCCACCAAGGCGAAGAUCGGUAGCCGGCCUGAGAGGGCGCACGGCCACACUGGAACUGAAACACGGUCCAGACUCCUACGGGAGGCAGCAGUGGGGAAUCUUGCGCAAUGGGGGAAACCCUGACGCAGCAACGCCGCGUGGAGGAUGAAGCCCCUUGGGGCGUAAACUCCUUUCGACCAAGACGAUAAUGACGGUACUG